AUUUCUUCUACUCAAUCCUGCCCCAUCCAAAAAUAAUAAUUAAAAAAAAAAAGAAAGAAAGAAGAAAAUAGAGCGUCCGUGCAAGAAAUCAUUGGGCUAAGCAGGCUGAACCAUUUUUGGACAUUUUGUCUCUCAAGAGAAGAAGAAAAAAAAAAGGCAAGCGAACGACGGCGCUGCUCGUUGAUCGAAGUGCAAAAUGAGCUGGUCCCGGAGAUGCCGAGGACACGGCGAGCUCCCCGCUGAACCAAAGUCAAAGCCGGUGAAUGCGGCGGCAGCUGAUGGCUGGAGUGCUCCGGGUUCAGCGGCUCUCCUUCCCCUCCGCCUCUCCCCUCCGGGCGGGCUCCUGCGGCCGAAGGGCGCUGCUGCUCCGCCCGUGCCCGAGGGGCUCCGGCAGCGCCGGGGCUGCGGGGCCGCCGAGCCCCGCGGGGGCUGCGGGGGCUGCGGGGCUGCUCCUGCCGCUGCGGCCGCUGCGCCCGGCUCCAAAUGUGCUUCUCAUGCGGAGUCAAAUUAAAGGAUCCGUUUUCCUCGGGACCAGUGCCACUUCAGCGUUGUCUCUUUCCAAACAAGUCCGAGCGCUGGCAAAGGCGCGGCAUUGAUUUUGUUGCUUUUAUUUAUUGGUUUGGUUGUUUUUUUGUUGGUUUUUUUUUCCUCCCCUUUUAAAGAAAAAGAAUUUGAAAGAUAGGAGUCUUUCCUCUCUCUAAUUUUUUUUUUGUUUCUUUUUUAUUUGUCACGUAUUUCGAGAGCGAAGCGGUAGCUCUUUGGCAGAGACAUGCCUUUCAAAGGCAAGGGGAGGGUUUGCUACAUUCACCUCCCGCAGUUCGGCAAGGAUCGAAGGUAAAAUUCCCCUCCUCUCGGAAAUCACAGCCGCCACGCUCCUCGUCUGAAAGCACUGAUAUCUCCGCUUUUUUUUUUUUUUUUUUCCUUUUCUUUCCUCGCCUUUUUUAUUUAUUUAAUUUUUUUUUUCCCAGGGGCAGAAGGAGCUCUGAAGUGGACCUCUCGGUUAAUUCUUUAGCAAAGGCUGCAGAAAGCCAGGAGAGCCUCAAGAGGGGAGGGGAUAAUGUAUCCGUGACGUGUCCUCCCUCGCAGCGCCCUCCGAGGGACCCAAAUCCAGAGGAGCCAGCGCAGAGCCGCAAUUAGCACUUGCGAGGGGACGGGAGGCCGGCCCGGGGGGAGCCGGGGGCGGGGGCCGCCGGCUGGGGCAACCCCAACCCGCUCCCGGCCGAGCCCCCUGCCCCUCGCUGCCCUUCUCGCUGACCCCGAGGGGGCCUUGUCGCCCCAGCCGGGGCUCAGCCGCCCGCAGGAGGGGCCACGGGGGGUUCGGGGCCGUGACACGCGUGGUGCCCUUCCCCAGCCCCGGGAAAUGACCCGAGAGCUUCCCGCGUUGUUCUGGAUCUGGGUGAAGCGUACCUGGACACGCACACAGGCAGGUUCUAACGGGUCCGAUUCAACGAGCUCCGUGAUCGCUAACCCCGAAAAAGGAAUUUAUGUGGGACAUUUCUGUGUCCUGUGAACAAAAUAUGGAGACGAACGACCUGGUGGCAAAGGAAAGCGCGAGGGGAGCGUGUUGUACUUCCAACAAAUCGCGGUGAUUUGGAGAAAGGGCAGAUUUGCGAAUGUUUUCAACAGAAUCCCGGCAGAAAAAGAGAAAAUCACGGUGCUGCAAGGGUGGCCCAAAUCUAUCGAGGUGGAUUCGCUGUGUGCAGCUCGGGUUUUCAACUGGAGACGGAAAACAGAGAGGAAAACGAGAGGUGAGAACAACUCCAUCCAACCCAAACCAAACUCUUUUCCCCCAUCCACCCCUCGAAACAAACUCUUUUGGCAGUUCCCUUGCGCGGGUGGGUGCCCCGUGUCUUGGUGGCCAUGGGGACAAGCCCGAGCUCCAAGGGAGGGGGUCCAACACCUUUUUUUUGGGGGGGGCAAUUUUGCAUCUUUCGGGCGUGGGGGCGGCACCGCUCCCUUCCCAUCCCUGCCCCUCCGGGGAUCAAAGGAAUUCCCAGGGCCGCUCCAGCCGAGGUUUCCAGGCACAGGCAGCAGGACGGGGGUUGCCAUCCCCUGGAAAUGUCCUUGAAAGUGCCACUCUUGCCCCAAAAAACUUGGCAGCGCCGCGAUUUUGGUGUUGGUGGAGUUUUCCUUUUUUUUUUUUCUUUUUCCUCUCGGUGGAGGCUGGGGAGGAAAUUGGGGCUGCGGAGCCGAGCACAGAGCGGGGCUUAACUUUAGUCUGAUGUGCUUAGCUGAAGUAUUAACUGUGAGAAAUCCCACCAAGUCGCACAGGAAAGAAAACACCGUCAGAUAUUUGAACAUUUCCAGUCUGCACCAUCAGCACCGCUCCCAGCUCGAGGAGCAGCAGGGCUGAUCGUCCCCGGAGGAAUCCCCCGGAUUUUUUUUCCCCCUGUAACUACCGCUCCCAAGUGUGGCUGUACACACACAGCCGCUCACACACGCAAAUCCUAUAAAUGCUAAUAAAACAGAUUCCUCAGGAUUUGUUUAACUUGCCCCGGCACCGCCAUCCUAUAUUGGUAUUCAGCGGGGUUACUGGUGUGCCUGAGGAUUACUGGUGAAGUGGAAGAUUUUGGGAUCAACCUUCUAGGGUGCCACUCGGACAUGUCCCUUCAGGCGAGGUGGGAGCCAUAAACAUUGGCAAUAGGGUGGAUUCGAACUGAAUACUUGAAAGGGGGAAAAAGGGAAGCAGAGUCUUGGUGCUGGAAUGAUGAAACUAUGCAGAAUCGAGGCCUCCGGUUGCAGGGGAUCGUUUUCAGUUCCUUUCUGGAAGCUGUAUUGCUGCUAUUGUCCAUCCUUUGCUGGCCACAUGGGACACGUUUGGCAAUAGGACAGAAAAUUAUUUCUACUGGGCAUGAACUGGAAAUAUCCAGCUGGGGCAUGGAUCCCAUUUCUAAUCAGGGUGGAGGGAAGAAAAUCUCAAGGCUCUUUCUUGUUGCUCAGACAGCAUUUGGGGGGGGUUUGUCAAAAGCUCCUAUCCAGAAAAAAUACGGCUGUUUAAAAAUGAAAUAAGGGUUGUGGGGUCUUUUUUUUUUACCCUUCAAACUUGUAAAUGUGGGGGUUUUAUUUGCUGUCCAUGCUGCAGAAGGGGGUGCAUGCUGUGUGUGCUGCGCAGUGAUAACACAGGCGUGCAGCUCUGCAGGAGCUGUCAGACUUGAUGGACUGAUCCAAAUGGAUGAUAUUUGCAAAAAAUAUGCCCCAGUUAAAAACUCUCAGUGCUCAUGUUCGGGUCAGGUUCUCAAUUUCAGUUUUCUAAGGAGAAUAAAGUUGUUUUGUUAAGGUCAACUUAAUUUUUUUUUCCCCUCCACAGCCGGAGCUGGAAUUCGAUGAAUUUUCCAAAAGUAUUUUCAUAGGGCUCUGAUAAUUGGUAUUAAUUAUGACACCCAAAGUUUCGUGACCAAACAUUUGCUGCUGCUAAUACAAGCUGCAAACCAUAUUUCUUUUAAGUAUGGGAGAUAGUUUAAAAGGCAAAAGCUGGGAAUAGGAGAGGGAGUGUAUCAAUCAGGGAGAGGAAGCUUCUUGGCUGGAGAAACUGGAAAAAACCUAGUGGGAAAAGCACACACUGGAUCAUUUUUACUCUAUCUGUCUAAAAUCCUUUGAACGUUCUAAAAAGUCAAUGUGAGUAUUUUUAUUUACUUUUUCAAAGUUCUGCUCAGAGAUUUGUUUUCUCAGUGGUCCUUGGCUUAUAUGAGCAGUGUGACUAAUCUAGUGGAGAUGAAUAAUGGAUCUGUGAGGAAUAGAGGAAUUCUGAUUCAAAAACAUUUCUCUUUUUUUUUUUUGGUGGUGGUAUUUUAUGCUGCUUGGCAUUCAAUACAUUAUAUAAUGACUGUCAGGAGGACUUUGGUAAAACUUGACGGUAAAGUUUAUAAACACUUUAGUCAUGAUUUAGAAAUGAUGGAUGGAAAAUGUUAUUUAUGCAUAAUGGUAUUUAUGCCUAAUUAUGUGAUGUUUUACUCUGUUCUGAGCACAGUCAUAAGCAAAUGAAUGUGCUGUCAUUAACAACUGCACCUUUGAUUCCUAAAUAGGUUUUUUACCAUGGGCAGACAGAGCAAAGUAAAGAAUGAGCUCUUCACAAGGGACUGGAGCACGAGGGGCAGGGAGGGGAUGGAGAGAGAAAGCAGAAAUUCUGGUCAAGGUCAUUUUUGGGAGCUCAAGACCUCAGCCCUGCAAAUGGACCUGGAUCAGCCAAAUCUCCAAGGCAGGAGCUGACACCAGCGUGGAAUUCCCAGAGUGCAGCCUCAACAAG